AGCGAACGCUGGCGGCAGGCUUAACACAUGCAAGUCGAGCGGGCACUUCGGUGUCAGCGGCAGACGGGUGAGUAACACGUGGGAACGUACCCUUUGGUUCGGAAUAACGCUGGGAAACUAGCGCUAAUACCGGAUACGCCCUUUUGGGGAAAGCUUGCCGGCGAAGGAUUGGGCCGCGGCCGAUUUGGUAGGUGGUGGGGUAAUGGCCUACCAAGGCGACGAUCAGUAGCUGGUCUGAGAGGAUGAUCAGCCACCCUGGGACUGAGACACGGCCCAGACUCCUACGGGAGGCAGCAGUGGGGAAUAUUUGACAAUGGGCGCAAGCCUGAUCCAGCCAUGCCGCGUGAGUGAUGAAGGCCUUAGGGUUGUAAAGCUCUUUUGUCCGGGACGAUAAUGACGGUACCGGAAGAAUAAGCCCCGGCUAACUUCGUG
rnacentral:rRNA from 1 species